rnacentral:lncRNA from 1 species
UGUCAUCUCCCAUUUCAUACCCAUAAUGCGCAGACACAUUAGAAGGCUGUGCACGAUCUCCAUCCCCUUUGUUUCCUACCGGUAUAUGAACCAGACUCUUCUUAGUGUGAAUGAAGCUUUCGUUUUGUUGGACCAAUCCUGAUGUGCUGUCAUUCUUCCUCGCCCCAAUUUCUGCGUCCACAACCCUCUCUCUUUGGGCAAUCGCUAGCAUCGUUUCUAACAGUUGAUCUAUUUUCUCUUGGAUCGCAGUGAUGUAUGUCCUCAUGGUAACUUGAUUAGCCUUACCUUGCUCUAAUGUCAUCUUGUAGUUGCUCCGCGUCUCACAUCGGUGUUGAUUAGUCAGCGUUACUGGAUAGAGGGUAAAAAGGUUGGGUAAGUUUUCUUGAAAUGAAAUAUGUGAUGGGGUAGAUGCAUGUGAAUGAAAAAUGUCUUUUUUUAUUUAUUUAUCUCCAGGGAGUUUUUCAUCACGGUUGUAGUUUUAUUAAGCAUUCGAAGAUAACAUAAUGUCAGGAAAUAAAAAUGAGGACCAUCCUCAUUCAUUCAGAUGGUCAAAGUACGGAAUACAGAGGCAUAACUGCCCAAAUCGAUACAACUCAAAUACUAAACAUUUGCGAAAGCAUAAACUGAAUACAAGAAAAACAGAAAAAUCACACAACAAUCUUUCAGGUUAUGAUUUCUUCUAAUUCAAACUUGAACCUCUUCACCAUCCCCUCACACAUCAUAACAAAAUUGAUUACAGCGGGAUGCGUGCCGUGUUGGUCCAAUCCUUCCACUGCCUCUCUGAACCUCCAAGGCAUUUCUUGGGUCGUCCGGUUGCAGAAUUCUACCAAAAGUGUUGAGCUUUGUAUGGUACCCAUCUUUGUCCUCUUGCAAGAAAUUGAUAGUCUUUCUGAAGGUGUCGUAAUCCUCGAUGACUUGCUCUCUAUCCCUUAGCCAUAUCACACUAUCUUGAUGGAAAGCCUCGAAUCUAUCUUUCCAAUGUUGAGCAAAUUCUCUAGCAUCUUUUGCUUCUUGACAUUCUCGGCCCAAGUCGUAGGCGUGACUCGAGAAGCUUCAAGGGCUCUUUCCUUAAGUCGGCGCUCGUGCUCAUCUUGGGUCUCAAUAUUAUGAAGAGAGAUAGUGAGAUCAUGUAUCUUAGCCUCUAAUGUCUCUCUAACUUCUUUUUUCUCCUUUGUUGCUCGUAGCCACCAUCAUUUAUUCUUUUGGCAUUCUUUCUCAACUUGUUUCAGCUGCUCUUUAAUGGUUUCGAGGCAGUGGUCAGCUUGUUCCAUGCCUACUUUCACCUUCUUUCUCUUAUGUUCCUCCUUAUCGACCUUUUUCCUCAGUCGCUUCUAGCUGAGCCUUCUUCCUCUCUAGUUCCCACUUUAUCUCAUUUCUUUCAUUUGAAACUUGCUAGAAGCUAAUCUGUAGCUCUUCAUUUUCUCGUCUGAGUCUUGCUAUAGUAGCUCUCAAUGCUUCCACUUCUUCAAUGGAUACCGGGAGGGGUUCUGGUGGUGGAGGUUGAGUAGGAGGAUCGAGGGUGAAUGGUAGCUUGAUCUCUUGACUUCUCCUUGUGACCCAUUAAUAAUAGGGUUCUCUAUCCCCUACGACAACCUUUCCUUUGUCUUGUCCUAUGAAGCGAACUUUUUCCCAAGCUUGGAUAACCCUUCUCAGCAUAACAAGAUCUUCCAUAUCAUGGAACACAAAACCUUCUAACAACUGAUCAUCUGGUUUGUAUGCGAUAUAAUAACCCAACUAUCUCACUGCUAAAACCGGAUUAUAAUUAAUGCACCCUUUUGACCCUACUAAUGGCACAUUUGGAAAUUCUCCAUAAUUGGUAAUUGUAUCUCCCACAUUCAAACCAUGAGGAUACCAAAUAAUGGUAUUUUUGGUAAGUCCUACUAGCUUUUGAGACCACUCCCCUUAAUCGUAUCAACAU